rnacentral:sRNA from 1 species
GGAGGCUGAGGCGCGCGGGGCAGCCUGGGCCCCAGCCCACACCUUCACCAGGGCCCAGGAGCCACCAUGUGGCGAUGUCCACUGGGGCUACUGCUGUUGCUGCCGCUGGCUGGCCACGUGGCUCUGGGUGCCCAGCAGGGUCGUGGGCGCCGGGAGCUAGCACCGGGUCUGCACCUGCGGGGCAUCCGGGACGCGGGAGGCCGGUACUGCCAGGAGCAGGACCUGUGCUGCCGCGGCCGUGCCGACGACUGUGCCCUGCCCUACCUGGGCGCCAUCUGUUACUGUGACCUCUUCUGCAACCGCACGAUCUCCGACUGCUGCCCUGACUUCUGGGACUUCUGCCUCGGCGUGCCACCCCCUUUUCCCCCGAUCCAAGGUGGGCACUAAGAUGGCCAGGAGGGUGGGUCACUUUGUCCACCUCAGACUCAGCAAGGCUCAGGAGCAAAGCUGAUGGAUGCACUGACAUUUCCAGGGGAAGCUCUGUAGAAUCUGGGACUCUUCCCUGCCCCUCUGGGAACUUUACUCUCCAGCAAGACUGAAGAAGCUCCUUAGUUAGAAUUCUGAUUUAGCCCAGGGAAAGGGCAGCCUCCCACAUUUUCUCCCAAUACUGUCUCUUUUCCAGACACGGAAGGUGCUGGCUGCACCUGCUGACUCACUCUUGGGCUGAUAAGGCACAUAUG